UCCAGGCUGGCUGCGCGGGCUUUUGGUACAGAGCCCCGGGGAGGCGGUCUGACCUCCGCCAAGUCCAAGGCCACAGCAGCCCUCGCGGCCUUCCACUGCACAUCCCCGGGGCCAGUUCCUCCUGGCAGCUUUGAGAAAAAUGCAGAUGCUAAGACCCCUGCCUGAUAACCUCUGAUGGACACCAGAGUUUGAAAGUCACUGCUUUAUCUUCACUCUGAUGAAAGAAAAUACAUUUGACAAAAUGAGUGCAUUCUCUUUCAGGAAAGGGGAAGAACAUCACCGCCCUCAGUCUUUCAGGAAGAACAACGGGAAA